UGUUUUGCUGUUGUCGGGUGGAUCACGGUGCAAUUUUAUUUAGCUUGCUAGGAGAAAAAUUGCACGGUAUCCAUCUGUAAACCGUAGA